GCAACCGUGCUGCUUCUCAGCACUUGAAGUCUCCCCGAUGGUGUGACCAGCCUCUUCCCGCCAGUACCUGAAUGACCUCGGAGUCCCGUCUAUGGGUGAAUACUGCCCCUUCUAUAAAAGAGGACACAUUUCAGACUGGGCUGGAGCGCGCCAGCAUCUGCCCCAGUGUGAACCACACAGCUAACGCGCUCUUGUUUGCUGGACUAGGAUAUCAGCCUUCACCGCUUCCUCCUCAAAGACCUCAAAG
rnacentral:lncRNA from 1 species